CACGCCGUAAACGAUGGAUACUAGCUGUUGGAGGUAUCGACCCCUCCAGUAGCGAAGCUAACGCGUUAAGUAUCCCGCCUGUGGAGUACGGCCGCAAGGCUAAAACAUAAAGGAAUUGACGGGGACCCGCACAAGCGGUGGAUCGUGUUCUUUAAUUCGAUGCUAAACGAAGAACCUUACCAGGGCUUGACAUCCAGGGAAUUUUUGGGAAACCAAUUAGUGCCUUUUGGAACCCUGUGACAGGUGA
rnacentral:rRNA from 1 species